UAUUCCUUAUCUGAUCUUGAAAACUUACAAUGAUUAAAGAAUCUCGAUCUUUGAAAAAGUUCCGAUUUCCUGUGUGCUGGCUUUAUCAACAAAGAGGUUCUCACCAGACAGCAGUCCCUGACAUUCUACAUCUCUACAAGCUUCAUGGAAAGAAUGCUCCAUCUUCUAAAUAAAUCCGGUAAAAUUCUGAAGAUUGAUAAACCUGUCAUCAGCCAUUUGUUGAUCCCUAAAUCAUUUACUGUGGGCAGGGUAUGUGGUGUUCUGAUUGUGCGUGUAUUCAUUCAGCUUAAAUUCACAGAUGGAAUGUGGCACUGAAUUUUCUUCUCGAGGGAAAUUGAGAAUCUAUUAUUUAAAAAAUAGGAAAUAA
rnacentral:lncRNA from 10 species